rnacentral:piRNA from 1 species
UAGUUAACUCUGGAUCAGAGGGUCUCGUC